UACGGGGGAGGCAAGCGUUGUUCGGAUUUACUGGGCGUAAAGGGCGCGUAGGCGGCCACCGCAAGUCGACUGUGAAAUCUCCGGGCUUAACCCGGAAAGGUCAGCCGAUACUGCGGGGCUAGAGUGCAGAAGGGGCAACUGGAAUUCUCGGUGUAGCGGUGAAAUGCGUAGAGAUCGGGAAGAACAUCGGUGGCGAAAGCGCUCUGCUGGACUGCAACUGACACUCAGGGACGAAAGCUAGGGGAGCGAAUGGG
rnacentral:rRNA from 1 species